rnacentral:snRNA from 1 species
UCACUUUGCCAGCGCAUAUAUUAAAUUAGAAACAUAAAGAGAAGAUUAGCAUGGUCCCUGCUCAAG